rnacentral:pre_miRNA from 1 species
AUUGCAUGUGAGUCCCUCAUUUGGUGCGCUUAGCUGUUUUUCAAUUUGAUAUUGCUAGCUGCCUUGUGAAGGGCUUACGUGUGUU